UGGGGAAUAUUGCACAAUGGGCGCAAGCCUGAUGCAGCAACGCCGCGUGAACGAUGAAGGUCUUCGGAUCGUAAAGUUCUGUUGCAGGGGAAGAUAAUGACGGUACCCUGUGAGGAAGCCCCGGCUAACUACGUGCCAGCAGCCGCGGUAAUACGAAGGGGGCUAGCGUUGCUCGGAAUCACUGGGCGUAAAGGGCGCGUAGGCGGUCUUUUAAGUCGGGGGUGAAAGCCUGUGGCUCAACCACAGAAUUGCCUUCGAUACUGGGAGACUUGAGUUCGGAAGAGGUUGGUGGAACUGCGAGUGUAGAGGUGAAAUUCGUAGAUAUUCGCAAGAACACCGGUGGCGAAGGCGGCCAACUGGUCCGACACUGACGCUGAGGCGCGAAAGCGUGGGGAGCAAACAGG
rnacentral:rRNA from 1 species